UAUCCACAUUGCAUGGGGAAAACAGCAAGAAUCUGACAGUCUCUCUUGCCUCUCCAACCAGACUUUUUUGCAAGACGAUUGGCGCACCAAGAACUUCUUCAUGAUGUCCAUGUACUCGGGAGUGGGUGUAUGAUGUCUGGUGUCGUCUUUGGCAACCUUCAUGACCGUAUGAAGUGCCGUUUCAAAUUCAUCAGUCGUCAUGGUCACUCUCUUUGGCUCUGGGGGAUUCUCCUUGAACCUAAGAAACUUCUUCCUGUCGUCUGCUUCAGCCCCUCUCUGUGCAAUGUCUCCGGCGGUCUUCCUCUGCAGCCUCUCUCGCAAGAUGUCCUGGUCUAACUUCUUUUGAAAGUGCUGGAAUCUAUUGACCACUCCCUCCAACUCAUCGUCACUUGAGGAAUCCUUCAAAGUAGCCUUGUCAUUGCCCGUCUGGCCCAAGAUGAUUUUGUCGUCUACAUCCGGGAUGGGCUUGUCAGUUCCUUUGGCUUCUGGCUUGCCGGCCUCGUCCAAAAGAGGGUACUUCUCCAGCUUCAUCAAUGGAGUGGAAGUCUUGGCAGGUAGAUCUUCAUAGGAAUCCGCAGAUACGUUUGCCAGAGAUGCAGCUUUCGCCUCAAUCACCAUCGAAUGACGAAGUGACAGUUCCUUUUCCCUCAAAGAGAGCAAUUCCAUUUCCUUUUUUGUCCUUUCCAUCUGGGUCUGGACAAUUGUGAGCUCCAGCUCAGUCAGGUCAUCAUCGAAUCCUAGCCGCUUCGGUGGCUGACCCUUAUUUGCCCUUUCACUCCGCCUGAGUCCCUCCAUGUCGUCGUCAGGGAACUCGGGAGUUAAUCCACAGGCGCCAGUGCCGUCUAUUCGGCGAGUAUGGACCAAAAUGUUGUGGUCGUCGUCAAAGUCAAGUGGACUGUAUUUUUGAAUCUUUUAUUGACGUCUAAUUUGGCGAGACACGGCCUGAUCGAUUUUUAUAUUAUUUUCAAGAAUAUUAAGUGUUAAGUAUUAAGUAUUAAGCAGUGGUGGUUCCUGAAAUAUAAUUCCUCUUUAAAUUCUAAUUUUCCCAAUAUUAUUCUAAACUCUUACUUUGAAUUAACUGCUUGGACUUUCUAGCAACUAAUUUCCACUCACUAUUUCUCUCUCAAGGCAAAUUAUCUGAAAUAAAGCUUCUGUUAAAUCUC